UGGGGAAUUUUGGACAAUGGGCGAAAGCCUGAUCCAGCAAUGCUGCGUGUGUGAAGAAGGCCUUCGGGUUGUAAAGCACUUUUGUCCGGAAAGAAAUCCUUGGCUCUAAUACAGUCGGGGAUGACGGUACCGGAAGAAUAAGCACCGGCUAACUACGUGCCAGCAGCCGCGGUAAUACGUAGGGUGCAAGCGUUAAUCGGAAUUACUGGGCGUAAAGCGUGCGCAGGCGGUUUGCUAAGACCGAUGUGAAAUCCCCGGGCUCAACCUGGGAACUGCAUUGGUGACUGGCAGGCUAGAGUAUGGCAGAGGGGGGUAGAAUUCCACGUGUAGCAGUGAAAUGCGUAGAGAUGUGGAGGAAUACCGAUGGCGAAGGCAGCCCCCUGGGCCAAUACUGACGCUCAUGCACGAAAGCGUGGGGAGCGAACAGGAUUAGAUACCCUGGUAGUCCACGCCCUAAACGAUGUCAACUAGUUGUUGGGGAUUCAUUUCCUUAGUAACGUAGCUAACGCGUGAAGUUGACCGCCUGGGGAGUACGGUCGCAAGAUUAAAAGCUCAAAUGAAUUGACGGGGUCAUAGC
rnacentral:rRNA from 1 species